CGGGCAGGCAGAGCGGGGUCUGCGCUCGGGAUGCCCGGACCAGCCACCGCUUCUGUCCUCUGCUCCUGGUCUGCAGAUCAGGAACUGACUCACCCCCUGGUCCUUCCAAGUCUCCUGGGCAUCGGGGCCACCGUCUGGUGGGCAAGUUGUUAGCAAAGCACGCGAGGUCGCAGCAAGUUGAUUCCUGAGAGUUUUCACCGGCUCCGUCUGUGUUUCCCACCUUUGUCCAGCUGACUUCCUGCUCCCUCCCCCCGCUCUGGCUUCAGAUUCUUUUCCUCCGGCUGCAGUGCUCCCCCUGGGACUCCUCUCUGGUAACCCUCUUGGCAGCAGUCCUCUCAGCAAAACACAGCCUCUGCCUGCCCUCAGAAAAGUUAGGAAACUCCUCACGCUGGGUAAAGAGACGAUGUCCUAGCCGCAUCCUUUCCCCUGGUUCGCUUGGUGAACUUAAAGAACUCGCGGGGUCUCCCUGGGCUCUGUUUGGCAAAAUGGUGAUAUGGUUCAUCAGCUUCUCCGUCUACAGAAUUGCAUGAUCAAUAAUAAAUGCCUACCGAUGGAUGAGCACUGUGCUAGGAGAUUCAACCUGUCUCAGUCGUGUAAUCCUCCAACAGGGAAACCAAGGCUCAGACAGGUCGCCUACUGCCUCUUCCUGUCACUCUCUCGGGACCCCUGUUCUUCGAUCCCGGCCGCCAUGUUGGAAGGAAGCCCCGGGGAGACCACGGCAGCAGAGGGUCCCAGCCGACACCCAGCACCAGCUGCACAGCGAUCCUUCGGAUGUUCCUGGCUCCUUGGCCGCCCCAGGCUGCCGAAAUUGCAGACUGGUGCUCGGAGUAAACGUGGUGGUGGUUUUCCGACACUCUGUUUCGGGGUGGCUUGUUCCCCAGCAGUGGUAGCCAGAGCGCCAGGUCUCUGUGUCUCCAAAGUCCCCAAGAAGAAAAAGCACAUUCUCGAGUAGAAGAUUCCGGGCAGUGCCCUAGAAAGGACAGGCAGCCCAAACAACGGAAUAACCCAGAGAUGGUGACGACGCUCUCAGGACCAGAGGGCGUUGCGUGAGGUCAGGAAACAGGCAUGGUUCCCGUCCGGGCUGCACCAGCCGCCCCUGGAGCCGGGAGGCUCUGCGAGCGGGGGGUUGCUGCCCCCCUCCAGGCUCUCGCCGUCUUCUGCUCUACCUGCAUGGCUCUUGCUCAGGGCUUCCAGCCUGCUUGCCCACGACGGCCCCGCUGAUGCCAGUUCAGCUAUGGGCGGAGGCUCGGAGCCUCUGUAAGUUCUGCCGGGCUGUGCCUGCCGCAUCUCGGAGCUGGGCAGGUACCCCGACAAUGGCCAAGCCCCAGUUCCGUUUCGAGGGCUCUUUGUGAGCACGGUUUCCUCUCGUGUGAGUGUUACUUUGGAUUUGAACUUAUUCAAGCAAGAGAAGAGGCAGCAGAAGGGCUGUGGUCCUGCUUUAAUUUUCCCUCGAAAGGUUGGAUUUGUAGGAGACUCUUGCUGAAUUUGGUCUAAGAGAAGAGAUCAAGGCCAAGUCCAGUGUAUUUAGAAAUGAACGCAAAGGCAGAACGAUAUCGCGGGGCUGACUGUGCGGAGCCAGAGUGGCCCUCGGAACCUACAAUUAUUGAAUAAGGAACGUGUGAGUAAACGAAUUUGAACCAAGUACCAACCCACGAAGCUAGAAAAGGUCCAGCAAUGUAAACCUAAAAGAAAGAAGGAAUAAAAAUAAAUCCAGCAGAUUCUGAAGCA
ensembl:lncRNA